CCUUCUCACUCACUGUCUCCUACACCAACAAAAACAAAAGAAAGCAAUGCCAAAUUGAAGAAACGAAUCCAGGGCCACAAAAGAAAAAUGAUGGGGAGCCUUCACUUACACUCCACAGCCCUGGGAUUCUUCUUUCUCUUCCUGUCUCUCAGACUCAGUCAUGGCCUUCUCGUCAAACCUCAUAUCUUCAUCUAUGGUGGUUGCUCUCAGGAAAAGUACGGUCCCAACACCCCAUUUGAAGCUAACCUCAACGCUUUUCUAUCAUCCGUUGUUACCUCAGCCUCUCAAGUCUCCUACAAUACCUAUGCCACCGGAAAUGGAAGCUCAACGCCCCCAGAUGGAACCACCGUCUAUGGCUUAUACCAGUGCAGGGGUGAUUUACAGAGACCCGACUGCUCAAGAUGCAUGCAAAGUGCCGUUAACCAGAUAGGGUUGGUUUGCCCUUACUCCUACGGUGCUUCAUUACAACUAGAAGGCUGUUAUUUAAGAUACGACCGUGCUAGUUUCUUGGGGACACUCGAUACAAGUCUGAAGUUCAAGAAAUGCAGUAAAAGUAGUGUUAAUAACGACGUGGAGUUCUUUAGGCGUAGAGAUAUAGUGUUAGCCGAUUUGGAGGCGGGCGUUGGUUUUAAAGUCAGUUCGUCGGGUAUGGUCGAGGGUUUUUCCCAGUGUAUGGGGGAUUUGAGCUCGAGUGAUUGCUCCUCUUGCCUUGGGGAUGCUGUUGGGAAACUGAAGAGCUUAUGCGGAUCAGCUGCGGCAGCUGAUGUUUUCUUGGGGCAGUGUUAUGCUCGGUACUGGGCAUCUGGAUACUAUCAAGAAUUCUCUUCUGCAGAUUCCUCCCACCAAGAUGAGGAUCAUAUUGGAAAAACAGUAGCCCUCAUCGUGGGUGUAUUAGCAGGUCUAGCUGUUCUAAUUGUUAUUCUCUCAUUUUGCCAUGGCAAUGGAAUGAAACAACAGGUUUAACGACUAUGUAAAGCCCUUCCUUGCUACCAAGUUUAGAUUUUCAAGCAAUGGUUUGGGGGCUGGGUUGAGUUUUUCUAAUUCUAUGUUUUAAGGGCCGGAUAGCGUGUGGUCCGACAUGACGCCUCAAUGAAGGUCCUAGCUUGAGAAUGUGCCGCUCUAUUUAAUGGCUCAACCGUGCCAAUGUUAAUGCAAAAGAUGAAGAAAAAGAAGAGCAGAAGGGAGAGGCUGAGUUUAGCCAUUGAUCAAGACGUGAAGCUGAAAAAUAUAGACUAUAAAUUGAAGAAUUGAAGUUGGAUAAACAUAUAUAUAUAGAAAGAACAGUGAGAGCUGGCCACAUGCGAAGCCAUAGGUAGCUUGCAGUUUACGUGGAUUAAGAGCCAUAAUUGUGUAACGAGGUAAUGAAGGAGAAUAAAAUAAGAAUAUGGUUUAU